rnacentral:rRNA from 1 species
CCUACGGGGGGCUGCAGUGAGGAAUAUUGGUCAAUGGCCGAGAGCCUGAACCAGCCAAGUCGCGUGAGGGAAGACGGCCCUACGGGUUGUAAACCUCUUUUGUCGGGGAGCAAAGCGAGUCACGUGUGACUCAUUGAGAGUACCCGAAGAAAAAGCAUCGGCUAACUCCGUGCCAGCAGCCGCGGUAAUACGGAGGAUGCGAGCGUUAUCCGGAUUUAUUGGGUUUAAAGGGUGCGUAGGCGGAAGGUUAAGUCAGCGGUCAAAUGUCGGUGCUCAACACCGGCCUGCCGUUGAAACUGGUCGUCUUGAGUGAGCGAGAAGUAUGCGGAAUGCGUGGUGUAGCGGUGAAAUGCAUAGAUAUCACGAAGAACUCCGAUUGCGAAGGCAGCAUACCGGCGCUCAACUGACGCUGAGGCACGAAAGCGUGGGGAUCGAACAGGAUUAGAUACCCGAGUAGUC